AUUGAACGCUGGCGGCAGGCUUAACACAUGCAAGUCGAGCGGAGAUGAGGUGCUUGCACCUUAUCUUAGCGGCGGACGGGUGAGUAAUGCUUAGGAAGCUGCCUAUUAGUGGGGGACAACAUUCCGAAAGGAAUGCUAAUACCGCAUACGUCCUACGGGAGAAAGCAGGGGAUCUUCGGACCUUGCGCUAAUAGAUGAGCCUAAGUCGGAUUAGCUAGUUGGUGGGGUAAAGGCCUACCAAGGCGACGAUCUGUAGCGGGUCUGAGAGGAUGAUCCGCCACACUGGGACUGAGACACGGCCCAGACUCCUACGGGAGGCAGCAGUGGGGAAUAUUGGACAAUGGGGGGAACCCUGAUCCAGCCGUGCCGCGUGUGUGAAGAAGGCCUUAUGGUUGUAAAGCACUUUAAGCGAGGAGGAGGCUACUGAGACUAAUACUCUUGGAUAGUGGACGUUACUCGCAGAAUAAGCACCGGCUAACUCUGUGCCAGCAGCCGCAGUAAUAC
rnacentral:rRNA from 1 species